GUGAACCUUGCGGAAGGAUCAUUUACCGAAUUGUCAACAAGGGUUGUUGCUGGGCCCCUGUAUGGGGGCAUGUGCACGCUCUGUUUACACAUCCACUCACACCUGUGGACCCUCGGUAGUUCUGCGGCCUGAGGGGCUCUGUCCUCCUGCUGUGGUUCUACGUCUUUACACACACACCGAAAUAAAGUCUAAUGGAAUGUAUGUCGCGUUUAACGCAAUGAAAUACAACUUUCAGCAACGGAUCUCUUGGCUCUCGCAUCGAUGAAGAACGCAGCGAAAUGCGAUAAGUAAUGUGAAUUGCAGAAUUCAGUGAAUCAUCGAAUCUUUGAACGCACCUUGCGCCCUUUGGAUAUUCCGAAGGGCAUGCCUGUUUGAGUAUCAUGAACACCUCAACUCUCACGGCUUGCCGUGAUGAGCUUGGACUUUGGGGGUCUUGCUGGCCUGUGGUCAGCUCCUCUCAAAUGAAUUAGCUUGCCGGUGUUUGGUGGGAUCACAGGUGUGAUAACUAUCUACGCUUGUG
rnacentral:sRNA from 1 species